AGUCAAAAAUCUUUCAUGUAGUAAUAUUUACUGCACAAUAAUCAUUUAUUUGUCUUCUCAAACAAUCAAACCCCGAGGGCCAAUUCCGUCAUUAUUCCUUCGUCCAACUCCGCGAUCUAGAUGCUGCAGCACUCCCCCAGCUUCUCGCUUCUCUAGAUCCACCACUCCGCCACCGUACCGGAAACUCCAUAUCCAAAUCUCCAUACUCCGGGAAUGGCUUCUUCCGAAGCCGAUUCCCGCUUAAUCCGAGUCCUCACCCCCGCCUUCGACAAGAUCGUCAAAAAUGCGACGUGGCGCAAGCACUCCAAACUCGCCGCCGAGUGCAAAUCCGUUAUCGAACACCUCACCUCACCCAACCAAAACCCUACCCCCGUAUCCUCACCCCCUGCGUCCCCCUCCGGCCAAUCCGAUUCCGACACGUCGUCACACCCCGGCGUUCUCCUGGAUCUCUCACUGGCAGACUCCGAAAUCGUUCUCAGCCCCCUAAUCAAUGCGCUCUACUCUAACUACGCUAAAGUUACCGAACCUGCUCUUGAUGCAGUGCAGAAGCUGAUUGCCCAUGGAUAUUUGCACGGCGAAGCGGACCCGAGCGGAGGCCCGGGCGGCAAAUUGCUCUCCAAAUUGAUCGAUUCCGCGUGCAAGUGCCACGAUUUGGGGGAUGAGAAUGUGGAAUUGUUGGUGAUCAAGAGCGAUUCUGUCUGCUGUUACUUCGGUCUCUCUUCGGAUACACGGCGAUUGCUUGUGCAGGUGGGAGGACUGUACGNNNNNNNNNNNNNNNNNNNNNNNNNNNNNNNNNNNNNNNNNNNNNNNNNNNNNNNNNNNNNNNNNNNNNNNNNNNNNNNNNNNNNNNNNNNNNNNNNNNNCGAUACGAUAUUUACGAUAUUAGUCAAAAUAUUUAAAAAAAAAAAUACAAAAAAAAUGAAAUAUUCACAAUUUCAAGGCUGAAAAACGGAUUUCAAAAUAACCCUUCAAAUUCACAACCCUAAUCCACCUGUCUCACUUCAAUUUCUUCAAAAAAUUAUCACAAUAUGGCAACCCGCCUAACUCAAUUUCUAUAGAUUCUUGUUAUUUUUUGCGAGUCAAGUGCGAAUUUAUGAGUGACAGAUUAGUCUUUUAGAAAUUAUGAGUGAUAGAUUAGUCUUUUAGAAAUUAUGGAUUCGAAUUUGAACUUUGCUGAUGUAUUUUAAGAGCAACUAUGAUUUUUUUCCUAUUUUAUAAUGCAAUUUUGAAAUUUGAAACUUGAUUUGACUUUAAAAUAUUAAAUUUUACAUGUCUAUAGUAUUUCUAUUAUGUAAAUAUAUAUAUUUUAUUAUUUUAAAUAGUUGGUUAAAUAUCAUACGAUACGAUAUGAUACGAUACACGGCGGAAAACGAUAUGCCGAUAUUUUCCGAUUCGAUAACCAUGAUAUAUAUAAUGUUAAAGCAAGAAAAGCACAUGUGUUUUAUUCUCAAUUAAUACGUUUUCUGUUAAUUAAUUAUGUUAUUCAAUUAUUAAAUAAAAAAUACUCAAAUGAUAUAAAAUCAAUAAAAAAAAAAUUAAAAGUAAAUAAAUAAACACAAAUACAAAUAAAUGAAUUUGUUGUACGGAUAUUUAUCGGCCCACUGUAUUAGUGGACGGUCCAUAUCCAGCCCAACUAAACUAGUUUAGAGCACGUAGAAUUAUUACUUGGCCCACUUCUUCUUCCUUUUUUUUUUCUUCUUUUCUUUCUAAAUAGCUUUUCUAAGAAAUUAUUUAGUCUUUCUAAAAUAAUUAAAAGAAAAAAAAUUAUAUAUUCUCAUCAAUUCGAUUUUAUUUUAUAGGAACCAAUAAGACAGAAGCUUGAAAGGGAUGAACGCGCUCCUAGCGGAAAAUACCGGCCGCGAAAACAUAUGGGACGAGUAUGCCGUAUGGGGACUAACGAAACCGAAUAAGUACCAGGAAUGAAUUUUGCUAUAUCUGUCCCGUAUCCCCGUCCCGCAGCCCUGGCCCGUCAUUGUAUUUUAAUAUGUACAUAUAUUUAGUUGGAGCAUUAUUUUAAAUUAAUUUUUCAUUUAAUCUUAUUUCCAUAAUUUUAGCUCCUUUCCAUGAAACUUAAUUUUUUUUUUAUUUUUUUUAGCUCGUUUUCACAUAAAUAAUUUGAAAAACAUAUAUAUGUACAUUUAAUUUUCAUGGAUUUGUCGGGGUGGAUACCCGUAUAUUGUUUAAUGGGUCGAGAAUGGGAAUAUUCGACGUAGAAUUUUUAAGAGAACAUAAAUAGAGACUUUGAGAGUAGACGAGGAUGGAGAUUGCAAAACCGGCCGCAUAGCAGUGCCACUAUCAUCAUGGAUUCUUGAUCAUGUAUUGUCAUCAAUUGAAUAGUCAACUACUGUGCAAUCAAAAUAAUCAAAAAAAUCAUGCUCUCCAUUUUGACCACACCUUCAUUACUCGCACAUUAAAUAAAUUAAAUAAAAAAAUAUCCAUAAUUUCGAAUAAUUAAAUUAAGAUAUCACCUUGAAAGAAGAGAAACACUACUAAAAACUCUUUAGAGUCAAAAAUCUUUCAUGUAGUAAUAUUUACUGCACAAUAAUCAUUUAUUUGUCUUCUCAAACAAUCAAACCCCGAGGGCCAAUUCCGUCAUUAUUCCUUCGUCCAACUCCGCGAUCUAGAUGCUGCAGCACUCCCCCAGCUUCUCGCUUCUCUAGAUCCACCACUCCGCCACCGUACCGGAAACUCCAUAUCCAAAUCUCCAUACUCCGGGAAUGGCUUCUUCCGAAGCCGAUUCCCGCUUAAUCCGAGUCCUCACCCCCGCCUUCGACAAGAUCGUCAAAAAUGCGACGUGGCGCAAGCACUCCAAACUCGCCGCCGAGUGCAAAUCCGUUAUCGAACACCUCACCUCACCCAACCAAAACCCUACCCCCGUAUCCUCACCCCCUGCGUCCCCCUCCGGCCAAUCCGAUUCCGACACGUCGUCACACCCCGGCGUUCUCCUGGAUCUCUCACUGGCAGACUCCGAAAUCGUUCUCAGCCCCCUAAUCAAUGCGCUCUACUCUAACUACGCUAAAGUUACCGAACCUGCUCUUGAUGCAGUGCAGAAGCUGAUUGCCCAUGGAUAUUUGCACGGCGAAGCGGACCCGAGCGGAGGCCCGGACGGCAAAUUGCUCUCCAAAUUGAU
rnacentral:lncRNA from 1 species